CCAAUAGCGGAUAUUAAAGUUGUUGCAGUUAAAAAGCUCGUAGUUGAAUUUCGGGAUCAAUAUGUCGGUCGUGCCUUCGGGACGUACUGGCAUCAUUGAGUUCUAUCUUCUGACGAACCAUUAUGUCAUUAAUUUGGUGUCAUGGGGAGUCAGGACUGUGACUUAGAAAAAAUUAGAGUGUUUAUAGCAGGCUCACGCUUGAAUACAUUAGCAUGGAAUUAUGAGACAGGACGUUUGACCCUAUUUUGUUGGUUUCUAGGAUCAACGUAAUGAUUAAUAGGGAUAGUUGGGGGCAUUAGUAUUCAAUUGUCAGAGGUGAAAUUCUUGGAUUUAUUGAAGACUAACUACUGCGAAAGCAUUUGCCAAGGAUGUUUUCAUUAAUCAAGAACGAAAGUUAGGGGAUCGAAGACGAUCAGAUACCGUCGUAGUCUUAACCAUAAACUAUGCCGACUAGGGAUCGGAUGAUGUUAAUUUUUUAAUGACUCAUUCGGCGCCUUACG
rnacentral:rRNA from 1 species